AUUGAACGCUGGCGGCAGGCCUAACACAUGCAAGUCGAACGAGUGGCGGACGGGUGAGUAAUGUCUGGGAAACUGCCUGAUGGAGGGGGAUAACUACUGGAAACGGUAGCUAAUACCGCAUACCCUCGGAUGUGCCCAGAUGGGAUUAGCUAGUAGGUGGGGUAAAGGCUCACCAAGGGGACGACCCCUAGAUGGUCUGAGAGGAUGGCCAGCCACACGGGAACUGAGACAGGGUCAAGACUCCUAAGGAGGGCAGCGGUGGGGAAUAUUGCGCAAGGGGGGAAAGGCGGAUACAGCCAGGCCGCGUGAAUGAAGAAGGCCUUCGGUUUGUAAAGUACAUUCGGCGGGGAGGCGUUACCAGCAGAAGAAGCACCGGCUAACUCCGUGCCAGCAGCCGCGGUAAUAC
rnacentral:rRNA from 1 species